GCAAGUCGAACGAGAAAGCCUCUUCGGAGGUGAGUAGAGUGGCGCACGGGUGAGUAACGCGUAGGUGACCUACCCUUUGGCGGGGGAUAACCCAGAGAAAUUUGGGCUAAUACCGCAUAAGUAAUAUGAAUUUGAAAGUAUUAUUAGAAAGAAUGCCUCUACUUGUAAGCAUUCACCGAAGGAUGGGCUUGCGUAACAUUAGUUUGUUGGUGGGGUAAUGGCCUACCAAGGCAACGAUGCUUAGCCGGUCUGAGAGGAUGGUC
rnacentral:rRNA from 1 species